UACGGGGGGGGGCAAGCGUUGUUCGGAAUUACUGGGCGUAAAGGGCUCGUAGGUGGCCAACUAAGUCAGACGUGAAAUCCCUCGGCUUAACCGGGGAACUGCGUCUGAUACUGGAUGGCUUGAGUGUGGGAGAGGGAUGCGGAAUUCCAGGUGUAGCGGUGAAAUGCGUAGAUAUCUGGAGGAACACCGGUGGCGAAGGCGGCAUCCUGGACCAUUACUGACACUGAAUAGCGAAAGCCAGGGAGCAAACGGG
rnacentral:rRNA from 1 species